rnacentral:rRNA from 1 species
GACAGAGGUGCCGAGCGUUAGGCGGAAUCACUGGGCUUAAAGCGUGUGUAGGCGGAUUUGUAAGUACCUUGUGAAAUCCCACGGCUCAACCGUGGAACUGCUCGGUAUACUGCUUAUCUUGAGCCACUUAGGGGCAGUCGGAACAGAUGGUGGAGCGGUGAAAUGCGUAGAUAUCAUCUGGAACGCCAAAGGUGAAAACAGACUGCUGGGAGUGAUGCUGACGCUGAGACACGAAAGCUAGGGAGCGAACGGG